CGCCUGGGGGGCGUGAGCCCAUGGAAAGUGCCACAGAAAAUAUACCGCCGGCCCUCGGGUCGGUAAGGGUGAAAAGGUGCGGUAAGAGCGCACCGCGCGACUGGCAACAGUUCGCGGCACGGUAAACCCCGCCCGGAGCAAGACCAAAUAGGGGAGUGAGGGCUUUUUGCCCACCGUCGGUUCCGAACGGACUCCCGGGUAGGUUGCUAGAGGCAGUUGGUGACGGCUGUCCCAGAUGAAUGGUUGUCUACGACAGAACCCGGCUUAUUGCUGGCUCCGGCUU
rnacentral:RNase_P_RNA from 1 species